CAAAGUUUCUGUGGUUUUCCCGUCCUCUUCGUCCUUCCUCAGCAGUCUAUCUGCUUUUCCCCUUCCCUCCCCCUCUGCUGCUCUGCCUUCUUCCAGCUUUGUUUCUGAGGUGGUUGGGAGAAAGGUUUUGUUUGAUGGGUCUGUUUGUAAUGGGUGAGGUCCACCUUUCAGCAGUGCCACUCUCCACUCCAUCAGGAAGCAGUAUAUCUGGAGAGCAGACUUUGCCUAAAUUGUCUGCAGAGCUAGUGAAGAAAUGUCCUCCAGGAUGUCCCAGAAGCAGAAAGCUCCUGCCACUGUUUGUGGCCUCAUUUUGCUACCCAAAAGCAAUAUCUCUUCAUCAGCUGUGAAUGGGCUUCCCCUCCUCAUGCUCCUGUUUAGUUCUCCCACUUCUUUCAGAGCACCUGAGAGGGGAGGAUUACAGAUCCUGGGGCCAAGGUUUAUCCCUGCAGAGACCAGCUGAAGAAAACGUCAAAUGCAAACAGGGAUGAACUCACACUAUCUCUGGUACAAACAUUCACAGGAGGAUGAUGCAAGGAUGGUCUUAGCUCAGCACUCAACCUGUGAGUGACAAGGUAAAACGCGGGGGGGUUACAGGAGCAAUUGGGUGGUAAUGUUGAUAGGGACAUGACAAGUUGCCUUUUGCUCAAAUUCCUGUUGGACCAGUUCCAGAGACAAUUCUUACUCAAAUUCUGGCUCAAAAAAGCUUGUCUGUGGACUAAGGAGCUUGUAUGCACAUGAUUUUCUUGUUAUUGCCUUGCCAGUGGAAUAGACUCUUUCUGUCACUGACCCCACUGGAAGCCAUUCCUUGGUGAGGUUGGUGGGAUGAGCUUCCAUAAGCAUUCCCUUACUUGCAGCUCUCAAUCCAAACCAAAAAGCCUCUAGUGGAAAAAGUUAAACAUGACUGGAUGUGUUCUAGCUGAGGUGGGCUGGGGGCUGUUCACACUGGCAACAGAGUUGGCAAACUGGUGAGAGGCGACUGAAUAACAUCCAACCCCAGAUCUGUGUGAAGCUGCUUGGGGCGAGGGGUUGGCUGGAGGAGGGCAUAUGAUUAAAAGUGUGAUAUUAAGGCUGAAUGGAAGUGCGGGAUCUGACUGCCGAUUCCACAGAAGCACUGAAGAAAGAGUGAAUUCUCUGUAAGAUUUCCUGAGAGGAUUUUGUUCCCCAGCGGGAAGGCUGCAGGACACCCCAGUGAAAGGCUGGCUUCUCCGCAGAGACCUUGUGCUUCUGCAGUGAUGGCUUUCCCAGAGCCAACGCCUGUUUCCCCCUCACUCCCCAGCAGCUUCCUGCC
rnacentral:lncRNA from 1 species